UGGCCAUAUCACGUUGAAACACCAGUUCUUGUACGAUCACCGAAGUUAAACAGCGUCGUGCCAGGUCAGUACCUAGAUGGGUGAUCGCUUGGGAAGGCUA